UUGGAGCCCUAGGUGGUUACUCUUGGGUAGGUUAUUCCUAAGUAGACGUUCCUAGCAUAGUUUGAGUGGGUUUUAAGUUGCUUUGCAUUUGCCUAUGCUUUUGUCUCUUCAUUUGGGCUUUUGAUAGUUCCAGUAAUUCUGAUGCUUCUAGAUUCUUUUCUGAAAGAUGAUUUGUGGUUGUGCUUGUAAUUAAAUCAAACAAUACCCAGAACAGCAUAAAUUGCAUGUGAAGUAUUGAUAUCCUUGUGUCUGUGAAGGCUGGUUUCUGAAUCGAAGAAAAUAUUAUCAGACCUGCAGUUUAAGGAGCUACAACAGAUUCAGAGAGCACAAUAGCACUACUUGAUAGAAUCAUUUCUUCGGUACGUUUCACUAAGUAUUUGAUACUCUUUCAUCAUUGAUUCUGUGAAUGCGAAUUUCAGUGAGACUUCCUGGGUACAUCAAGACUACAAAGAAACUGAGAAAUUGCACAUGCCUGCUAUCAAGGUUCAGGAGAAAUGAGAAGGCAAGAUGCAGCUUAUAAAAAAUGUUGUUAAAAUUCAACAGACCAGCUAGAUAGUUUUCUAUCAUUUGUAAUCUUGUGCUGCAUACUUCGAAUGUGCUUUAAACAAACGGGAAGUGUGAAUACUGUCUGUUCUAUUCAGAAAUGUGGGUGUUGCAGGGUUUAUACGAUCUGCCUCCACUAUAGACGUAUCAGGAUACCAUGUGGUGUCAGGUAUAAAACCCGGACUAAAAGAUGUAUGAAGUACAUAGGUCAGAACUGAGCUUACCAACCCUUGAGAAAAGCUAAGCCACCUGCUGUGUCCAGAGAGAAGAAAUUGAGAAAGCUGGAAGAACUGCCUGUGGGCAACUGUGAUUUUAACAUCAAAUAAGAGAAUCAUAUUUUCUAUGAAGGGCAUUCAUAGCUAGUUCAUUUAAACCUUGAAGUAAGGAAACUUGUGAAGUAUUGUGCCUGUCAGGCUAAAAAAAAGGAUUUGGUAUAUUGCUUAUAUUAACCUUGAAGCUGUUCUCAGUUUAGUUUGAUUUUAAAAACAAAUUCAGAUUAUAGAAUGGCUUCAGUUGGAAGGGACCACAUUCUGAGUCAUAUGUUUGACCUUUCUGGGUCAUAUGAAGCACUUUAUCCUUUCUGUGUACUUGUUAAUUUUGUUGAAGUAUCACUUAGUUCUGUAUUCAAAUGAAACAUGACAUCGAAUAACAGUGACCUCGCUGCUUAACCUCAGGAUGUUGAUUUCUACAUUCACUCCAUGUUUCACUGUUAACAUAAUUACUUACAUUUGAAGCAGACAGUGAUGAAAUGAUCUGACCUUUAUAUAUUAUUACUUGGCUAGUUUUUCCUUAUUUGCUGGAAAAAAUCAGUUGCUGAACAUUCUUAUUAAUAUUCAUUUCAAAUCCUUUGCAUGUCCUUCAUGCUGUAACUAGAAAGUAAUUCUCCCUUCUUCUGCACUGCAGGACACAAGUUUUCAUAAAGAAUUGUUGAGUUUUACGUCACUUUUAAAAAUCAAUGUAAUCUCUAUGAAUACUGUCUGAUGGAUGUAUUUAUAUUGAGGAUUUGCAUUUAUUAUCAUUGCAAUUAAUCUGAUUGCUUCUGUUGCCUUCCUGACUGAGCAGAAGAAGUUGAUUUUUCCGUUCUCCAUGUACCAAACUUGAGAUUCAAAUAAAGGAGAUUUUGCUGCUGUGAAGGAAGGGAUCUAUGGAAAUGGAAUUCAUUUUGGUAUGAAAUUGCCGAGAAGAGAGAUGGUUUUCUAGUCUGACAUUCAGAGCAGCCAAUAUCCUGCUUUCUCAGUACUUAACCCAGCCAGUGAGAAGGGACAAGACAACAUGUGAAACUUCAGGCAGUCAAUAAACACAGCUGAAGAGUCCCUUAGCCUGCAAUAAGUGCCUUAACAUAACGUGCAAGGAUACAUAGAAGUUGGUCAAUAGCUGGAGUCUAGUGUACAAAUGCUGGCCUGACAGAGGUAAUGGGCAAACUAAGAGUGGUUCUAAGCCUUACUCAGCUUGAGAGCUUAAACUAGCCCCUGGGAAGGAAGGCUAAAAUGGGGUCCUGGGCUGUGGACAGCGUUGUGGUAUAUUUAUCUUGAAUAUUACUCUAGUCUUCUCUUGAUUUCUCUUCACUAAUACAAAACAUGAUUUUAUCUUGAACUAAAUAAUAAGAAUUUACUAAAAUGUGGUAACCCGUAGAUAUAUGUAAUAGUCUAAAAAUAUACAACAAGAAUUGAAAAGAUGAAAUUACCUUCAGAACUGGGGCAGUUAAUAUAAGCAGUUGUGCUGGAUAUUAAUGAAUAACUUUCUGGAAGCUGUUGUGCAUUUUGUUGUAAAUGUGCCAUAAUGCAUUUGCUGCAGUGGUGGUGUUCUGUGAUACAAAAUUACUAUGAAAAAAAAAAAUCAAAGGAAGAAUCUUUCCCAACUGUUAUUUGCUUGCUUAUGAUAAUUUUGUAUAUCCUGAACCAAAACACAGUUUCUGUAAGAUUCAGUAGGUAACUACUGAGAGAGAAUACCUUCUGCCAUUUACAGGUUCAGCCCUCAAGUAAUAGGAAGCACUUCUAUUAUUCCAACCUCUAGAGGCAUCUAUGUGCUUGCCUUUCAUCUAUAGGCAAAUUUGAAAACAUUUGCUUAUAUAUAUGCAUAUGUUGACAAGUUAGUCUUGUGUGAUAGUCCUAGAUCUUGGAAUUAAGCGCAGCCAACUAAUGUUGAAUUAAUACUUAUUAAUAUCAAGGGGAGUUUUGUUUCCCGAAUGUAGUAAACAAUUAUGAUUUUAUAAAAUAAAGUAACUCAGCUAUGAAGUCUGACCCAGUUGCUCUGGGUUUGAUCCAGCUGGGUCUUACAGGCUACCAACGAUGUAAAUUGCAAUCUCCCCGAGCAUCCAGUUUGUUUCCUGGACUGUCCUCACAGAAUAGAAAAUAAUCAU